rnacentral:rRNA from 1 species
AAACUAAUUUAAUUUGGCGGCAUUUCAUUUAAUUAGAGGAAUUUGUCCUUUAAUCGAUAACCCACGUUAAAUUUUACUUCAAUCUAAAAUUUAUAUACCACCAUCUCAAGAAUUAAUUAAAAAAUAUUUCUCUAAAAAAUUAAUAAAAAGUUAGGUCAAGGUAUAAUUUAUAUUGAAGAAUAAGAUGAAUUACAUUAAAUACUAUUUAAGGAUUACAUAUUAAUAUAUUUAUAUAAAUAAGGAUUUAAAAGUAAUAUUAAAAAUAAUAUUAUAAUAUGACAUAAACAAUAAAUGUGUACACAUCGCCC